rnacentral:rRNA from 1 species
AACGAACGCUGGCGGCAGGCCUAACACAUGCAAGUCGAACGGAUCCUUCGGGAUUAGUGGCGAACGGGUGAGUAACGCGUGGGAACAUGCCCUUGGGUACGGAACAACAGCUGGAAACGGCUGCUAAUACCGUAUGAUGACUUCGGUCCAAAGAUUUAUCGCCCAAGGAUUGGCCCGCGUUGGAUUAGAUAGUUGGUGAGGUAACGGCUCACCAAGUCGACGAUCCAUAGCUGGUCUUAGAGGAUGAUCAGCCACACUGGGACUGAGACACGGCCCAGACUCCUACGGGAGGCAGCAGUGGGGAAUCUUAGACAAUGGGGGAAACCCUGAUCUAGCCAUGCCGCGUGAUCGAUGACGGCCUUAGGGUUGUAAAGAUCUUUCGUUAGGGACGAUAAUGACGGUACCUAAAGAAGAAGCUCCGGCUAACUUCG